rnacentral:rRNA from 1 species
AUUGAACGCUGGCGGCAGGCCUAACACAUGCAAGUCGAGCGAGCGGCGCACGGGUGAGGAAUGUAUGGGGACUGCCCGAUAGAGGGGGAUAACUACUGGAAACGGUAGCUAAUACCGCAUACUAUCGGAUAACCCAUAUGGGAUUAGAUAGUAGGUGGGGUAAAGGCUCACCUAGGCGACGGUCUCUAGCUGUUCUGAGAGGAUGAUCGGCCCCACUGGGACUGAGACACGACCCAGACUCCUACGGAGGCAGCAGUGGGGAAUAUUGCACAAUGGGCGCAAGCCUGAUGCAGCAAUGCCGCGUGUAUGAUGAAGGCCUUAGGGUUGUAAAGUACUUGCAGCGGGGAGACGUUACCCGCAGAAGGAGCACCGGCUAACUCCGUGCCAGCAGCCGCGGUAAUUC